AUGUUCAGACAGAAUCGUGACAAUAUUGACAUUACUAAUUUCGCGAGCACUGGAGAAUAAAUUAAAAAAUACAAAAUUAAUCCUGGGUACACAACAUUUGAUUGUAAGUUUAAUUAAAAAUAUAGUCUGAUCGAAGCUUAAUCAAAAUCAAAUUAAAAUUUCACACAAUCUUUAAACUUCUAUAAAUUUCCAAAUUCAAGAAAACCAACAUAUUGAAAAUUAUUGCUUCUAAAAUAUGCAAACCUCUUUCAAUUUCGCCACUAAAUUAAUUCCUAAUAAUUCCUAAAUUCUAGUUCCAAAUUAAUACCUUCGAAGUUGCCAAAAUUCUUUUACAUUUAUCAUCAACUUAAUUUCAGAUUUUUCUCAAUAAUAUGUCAUUAUAAUCGUUUUAAUUUUACUUUAAUAAACAGAUCGAUAUAUUUACUGGAGUACAGCAUAAGUUCAGCGAUACUGAGUACACAGGUCAUUGCCAGAGUGAGAAAUCCGCAAAGUCUACGACCCCAUCGGUCGAGCAACAGGGCAAG